rnacentral:rRNA from 1 species
CGUACAGCUCACUAACACGUGGCUAACCUGCCCUUGGGACGGGACCACCCCCGGGAAACUGGGGCUAAUCCCCGAUAGGUGAAGAACUCUGGAAUGAGUCUUCGCCUAAAAGCCAUUUGGAUCAUGCUUUCGGAUGGCGCCCAAGGAUGGGGCCGCGACCGAUCAGGUUGUUGGUGAGGUAAUGGCCCACCAAGCCUAUAACCGGUGCGGGCCGUGAGAGCGGGAGCCCGGAGAUGGGCACUGAGACAAGGGCCCAGGUCCUACGGGGCGCAGCAGUCGCGAAAACUUUGCAAUACACGAAAGUGUGACAGGGUCAUCCCGAGUGCCGACCGCUGAGGUUGGCUUUUACCCAGUCUAGAAAGCUGGGGGAAUAAGGAGAGGGCAAGUCUGGUGUCAGCCGCCGCGGUAAUACCAGCUCUCCGAGUGGUGUGGACGUUUAUUGGGCCUAAAGCAUCCGUAGCUGGCUGAACAAGUCCCCUGUUAAACCCACCGAUUUAAUCGUUGGCUUGCGGGGGAUACUGCUCGGCUAGGGGACGAGAGAGGCAGACGGUAUUCUCGGGGUAGGGGUGAAAUCCUAUAAUCCCGGGAAGACCACCAGUGGCGAAGGCUGUCUGCUAGAGCGCGCCCGACGGUGAGGGAUGAAAGCUGGGGGAGCGAACC